rnacentral:lncRNA from 1 species
GCUAACUGGUUCUUUUUCGAUGUCUGAUUGGAUCGGUGUUGUCUGCUUUUGGCUUAACUAUGAAAGACGAUGGUGAUGGAUUGCACUAUGGGCUCUGUCCUAAAUCCAUCCAUCCAUCAUUCCUCUUCUGCUUAUCCAAUUCAGGAUUGGGUUGCCAUUGGGUGUUAAAUGUAGAUCAGUGAGGGGAGUUUAAUGCUGAUAUCUUGAUUGUCUGGUCCUAAAGUUUUCCAACUUGUGUCUUUUGUUUCCAGCGUGGAGAGACUGCCGUGCAGACCCACCACUUGGAGUAUAUGGAGGGAGGCAUCCUGGACAUGGAUGACCUGCUGAGCGAUCUAGUGGAAGACAGAGACAAGCUGGUGGCAGUGUUUAACAAACCCCAGCAUGUGAGGACGGAAAGCCCCAGAGAGAGCGUGUCUAACAGCUCGUCCAGUGCUGCCCCGAGUCCAGAGCCCUUCACCUACUACCCCCACCUGCAGUACCAGGAUGAAGACAGAGGAGAGAUCGAAGUGAACGAGGCCGUCCUCAAAGCCAAUACACCUCUAAUGGUGAGGAGCAGCAGCGACUCUGCGUUGGCCCCGCCCCUUGAGAUGACACCCACACCUCCACCUGAUAAGCAAAGCAACGGGUCUCUUAAACCGGUGAGUUACACAGGAAAUAGCUUCAAAAUUAGAUUUUUUUUGUUUCUCAGUGAAACUGAUGUCUGCUGUUACCUUUGGCCAACUAAACGUGAUGAGAGGAUAAGCUGUUAGAUAUUCAGGUUAUUUAUAUUAGGUAUUCUUGCCUUCCUCAUUUCAUUGCUUUCUAAAAGGAGCAAUAAAAGAGCUCCAUCAGAAAUUCAAUGUUCACUCUCCAUUGAUUAAACUCCUGCAGGGUAAAACUAGUUUUUCAGUGAAAGCAAGAGAACAGUAAAUAAAUUUGAGAGGUGAACAUAUUGUAUUUCCAGUUGCAUAUUUGGUCUCUGCCUUUCACUCACUGAAGACAAAUGGAGAAACCCAGUGAAUAUCCCUCUUGUGGUCCAGCUCUCUGCCCCAGGCAUUACUUUGAAAGGAUCAGCUUUUCAAGUGCUCGGCCUCUUUUCGAAACGGGCCGCCAUUAAGGCCGACUUUUUUGUCCUCCGUGGGUUAUUGAAUGUGCGUGGAGGACUAGAUGGAGGCUCUGUGAGGUCACACUUGUAUGUGUGUGUCAGGAAAACUCAGGUAGAGAGAGGGAGGGAGGAGAAGGAGCCCUGCUGUUUACUCCUGCUGUGUUCAACUCAGCGGUGACUAAGCAGAACACGGGCAUCAGUGGGCAUCGUGUAAACACAAUGACAGAGCCCGUAUUUUUUGUCCACGAAAUGUCGGGCCUCGUGUGCUUCAAACAGCACGCCUGGACCAAAAUGAACAGGCUCAUUAUAGAUGAUUUAAAGUGUCCUUAGAACUGUUUGCAUAAAUCCACAUCUCUUUGCUGCCUGACAGAUGAAUCCCUGCUUUCGACUGCUGCAGUCUUAUUUAAACCCAGACAAAAACAAGGCCUGUAAAGAUGUUGCUACAACGGUUUUUAAAAUGUGACUCCCUUUUUAAGACUGUUUCUUUAUGUUGCUUUGUCAUUUAAAACCACACCAGAGGCUUGGCUCUAUGGACAGCAUUGGCUGUAGGCUCUUUCCCUACCAGGAAGUCACAUUUUGCCUUCUUGUAAGAAGCUGCAACCUUACAGAGAGGGUCUUUUUGUGUUGGGUAUGCAGUAAUAUCAGAUACAGGAAGCAAACAGUCUGAGCAUAUAAGUGUGCAUGGAGUCCUGCGAAGACCGCUUCCAUAGGAAUUAAUAGGUUGCGUAAUCAAAUGCUUGGGUAUAAUGAGCAAGACCACAUUUGUCCAGAAGUAAAAAAAAAAAAAUAACACUACUUAUCAGCAAAAACGCUUCAUACCAACUGUAAAGCACGGUGGGGGAUGAGUCAUGAUUUGAGCUUGCUUUGCGGGCUUUGCAGCCACACGACGUGGGCACCAUGAACUCAUUUGUAUACCAAAAUAUUCUAGAAUGAAUAUUAAAUGUGAGGCCAUGUGUCUGACAGCUGAAGCUUGGAUAAAACCAGGUCAUGCAACAGGACGAUGAUCCCAGGCACAGCUGAAAAAGAAAUGAAUCAAGGUGUUGUAAUGGAUCAUUCAAAAUCCAGAACUGAACUCAUUUAAAAUUCUUGGGUGUGACCUUAAAGGAGCAAGUGACCGCAAACUUCAAUGAACUGAAGCAACAAUGUAGAGAAGAGUGGACCAAAACUCCUCCAUGACAAUGUGAGAGAAAGUCAUAUAGAAAUGGGGUGUACUGGAUUUUCCCCAGGACUGUACAGAGGCAGUAGAUGUGCUGGUUGGUGUGCAACCA